AGUGAACGCUGGCGGUAGGCCUAACACAUGCAAGUCGAACGGCAGCACAGUAAGAGCUUGCUCUUACGGGUGGCGAGUGGCGGACGGGUGAGGAAUACAUCGGAAUCUACUUUUUCGUGGGGGAUAACGUAGGGAAACUUACGCUAAUACCGCAUACGACCUACGGGUGAAAGCAGGGGAUCUUCGGACCUUGCGCGAUUGAAUGAGCCGAUGUCGGAUUAGCUAGUUGGCGGGGUAAAGGCCCACCAAGGCGACGAUCCGUAGCUGGUCUGAGAGGAUGAUCAGCCACACUGGAACUGAGACACGGUCCAGACUCCUACGGGAGGCAGCAGUGGGGAAUAUUGGACAAUGGGCGCAAGCCUGAUCCCGCCAUAUCGCGUGGGUGAAGAAGGCCUUCGGGUUGUAAAGCCCUUUUGUUGGGAAAGAAAAGCAGCAGGUUAAUACCCCGCUGUUCUGACGGUACCCAAAGAAUAAGCACCGGCUAACUUCGUG
rnacentral:rRNA from 1 species